UGGGGAAUCUUGGACAAUGGGCGCAAGCCUGAUCCAGCCAUGCCGCGUGGAUGAUGAAGGCCUUAGGGUUGUAAAAUCCUUUCGUGGGGGACGAUAAUGACGGUACCCCAAGAAGAAGCUCCGGCUAACUUCGUGCCAGCAGCCGCGGUAAUACGUAGGGACCAAGCGUUGUUCGGAUUUACUGGGCGUAAAGGGCGCGUAGGCGGCAUGACAAGUCACUUGUGAAAUCUCUGGGCUUAACCCAGAACGGCCAAGUGAUACUGUCGCGCUAGAGUGCAGAAGGGGCAAUCGGAAUUCUUGGUGUAGCGGUGAAAUGCGUAGAUAUCAAGAGGAACACCUGAGGUGAAGACGGGUUGCUGGGCUGACACUGACGCUGAGGCGCGAAAGCCAGGGGAGCAAACGGGAUUAGAUACCCGAGUAGUCCCUGAGCGGGCUGGCAAGGCGCAU
rnacentral:rRNA from 1 species